rnacentral:tRNA from 1 species
GUUUUAAUAGUUUAUAUUAAAAAUAUUGAUGUUGUAAAUCAAUGAAAAAAAAAUCUUUUUUAAAACU